UAGAGUUUGAUCCUGGCUCCGAUUGAACGCUGGCGGCAGGCCUAACACAUGCAAGUCGAGCGGCAGCGGGAAAGUAGCUUGCUACUUUUGCCGGCGAGCGGCGGACGGGUGAGUAAUGCCUGGGGAUCUGCCCAGUCGAGGGGGAUAACUACUGGAAACGGUAGCUAAUACCGCAUACGCCCUACGGGGGAAAGCAGGGGACCUUCGGGCCUUGCGCGAUUGGAUGAACCCAGGUGGGAUUAGCUAGUUGGUGAGGUAACGGCUCACCAAGGCGACGAUCCCUAGCUGGUCUGAGAGGAUGAUCUUCCACAUUGGAACUGAGACACGGUCCAGACUCCUACGGGAGGCAGCAGUGGGGAAUAUUGCACAAUGGGGGAAACCCUGAUGCAGCCAUGCCGCGUGUGUGAAGAAGGCCUUCGGGUUGUAAAGCACUUUCAGCGAGGAGGAAAGGUCAGUAGCUAAUAUCUGCUGGGCUUGACGUUACUCGCAGAAGAAGCACCGGGCUAACUCCGUGCCAGCCAGCCGCGGUUAAUACCGGAGGGUGCAAGCGUUUAAUCCGGAAUUACUGGGGCGUUAAAGCGGCACGCCAGGCCGGUUGGGAUAAGGUUAGAAUGUUGGAAAGCACCCGGGGCCUCAACCCUGGGGAAUUUGCCAUUUUAUAACUUGUUCCAGCUUAGGAGGCCCGGGAAGGAGGGGGGGGGAAGAAC
rnacentral:rRNA from 1 species